rnacentral:sRNA from 1 species
GCGUCAGAGAAUGAAGACUGGUGACGGACAGUGUA